CUCCAUGGGAAGCCCACAGAGAGCAGCAAGAGUGAGCCCGUGUGCAGCAAUGAAGACCCAACACAGCCGAAAGUACUGGUAGAUCCAUAAAGCUCUAAGUACCUGCCAUGCCUUUCAUCUCUCUCUAGGAGAGGUGGUCCCAGGCAGUUCUUUCUCCAGAAGGGGUAGAGGAUCCAUAGCUGGAAGGAGCCCGAGUCCCUGAAUCACUGAGUGGAGGAAAACCACCAGCUAACCAGGAACAUUUUCAUCGACUAGUUUUGUGGGUGAGAAGGAACCUCAUAAUUUGGGUAUGUAUUCGUUACAGCAGAACAGGGUGGCAUUUUUUUGAACACGGUAUUUUGGCAGCAUACUCAAAAAGAUUAAGUGGCAUGUAUAGUAAUCACACUAUUAUACUGGUCACAUUUUAGCAUCAUGGUGGCACUGUUUAAG
ensembl:lncRNA